CAACCCUCAAGCUCCGCUUGGUAUUGGGCAUCAUCGGCAACGAUGUGUCUUAAAGUCAGUGGUGAUGCUGCCUGGCUCUAAGCGUAGUAGAUUCCUCGCUAUAGAUGUCGGGGGACACUCGUCAUACCUUCAAUUUUUAC
rnacentral:misc_RNA from 1 species